rnacentral:rRNA from 1 species
UACGUAGGGGGCAAGCGUUGUCCGGAUUUAUUGGGCGUAAAGAGCUCGUAGGCGGUUCCGUAAGUCGGGUGUGAAAAAUCUGGGCUCAACCCAGUGGAGCACCCGAUACUGCGGUGACUCGAGUCCGGUAGGGGAGUGUGGAAUUCCUGGUGUAGCGGUGAAAUGCGCAGAUACCAGGAGGAACACCGACGGCGAAGGCAGCACUCUGGGCCGGUACUGACGCUGAGGAGCGAAAGCAUGGGGAGCGAACAGG